GACUUUGCAGUCGGGUCUUCCUUAAGUGGUUGUACUCGAUUUGCUUUGUCUUAUCUUCUAGAUGCUGACAGGUUUGCGCCUGUCAUGUGUUCUAGGACUUUUACUGUGAAUAAAUUAGAGUGUUCAAAGCAGGCUUACGCUUGAAUACAUUAGCAUGGAAUAAUAAAAUAGGACCAUGGUCUUAUUUUGUUGGUUUUAAAGACCAAGGUA
rnacentral:rRNA from 1 species